rnacentral:rRNA from 1 species
UACGUAGGGGGCAAGCGUUGUCCGGAUUUAUUGGGCGUAAAGAGCUCGUAGGCGGUCUGUCGCGUCGAUCGUGAAAACUUGGGGCUUAACCCUGAGCUUGCGGUCGAUACGGGCAUGACUGGAGUUCGGCAGGGGAGACUGGAAUUCCUGGUGUAGCGGUGAAAUGCGCAGAUAUCAGGAGGAACACCGGUGGCGAAGGCGGGUCUCUGGGCCGAUACUGACGCUGAGGAGCGAAAGCAUGGGGAGCAAACAGG